rnacentral:rRNA from 1 species
UACGAAGGGGGCUAGCGUUGUUCGGAAUCACUGGGCGUAAAGGGCGCGUAGGCGGCCGAUCAAGUCGGGGGUGAAAGCCUGUGGCUCAACCACAGAAUUGCCUUCGAUACUGGUUGGCUUGAGACCGGAAGAGGUAAGUGGAACUGCGAGUGUAGAGGUGAAAUUCGUAGAUAUUGGGAAGAACACCGGUGGCGAAGGCGGCUCACUGGCUCAUUUCUGACGCUCAGGCGCGACAGCGUGGGGAUCAAACAGG